rnacentral:lncRNA from 1 species
CUAGCAUGUCUAGGUUUCAGACUCACAUUUUAAAAAUAUGCAUAUGCUGCAAACAUGGACAGGAGUUGGAUUGCAGUAGACAAGAAGACAAAAUGAGUUGCUGCCAUCCUUUCAUGACCCUUCCAAAUCUAGCAACGGAAAUUCCAAAGCAAAACUUUCAGUUUCAGUUGGUUCUGGUAAGUUUGUUAAUUUUUUUGUGGUUAGAAAAAGCAAUUUGACACCAUAAAAACACCUACUAUAGAAACAUCACAUUAAAUCAUAAAUUUAGGAAGAAGAGCAUAGACCAUUUCUCUUUGGGGGAAAAAAAGGGGGGGGGUAUUUACAUAAUUUUCUUGAAGCAAACACUGAUUUAAUUUUCAUUGACAUACAUUUAUAAUGAUUUAAAAUUCUUCUGAAACUAAAAGAUUUAUGUGUUUGCCUUCUAAAUUUUAAUAGAAAAACUUUUUUCUCUCUCAGUCUCUCAAGAGAUCUAUAAUAAUCAUGAAAAAAUAUAUAUUCUAUUACAAAGCCCUCCGGUAUCAGGUUUUUUCGCCCUGAGUUUGUUUGCCAAAUUGUCAAUAGAGUCCAUUGACUCUGGUUUUUUUCUCCUAAUUCAAAAAUAAUGGUUGCUUCAAAUCUAUAUCAAAAAAAAAGGAGAAACGAGAAACACCUAUAGAUUACAUAAACUACUGUACAUUUAUGCCAACUAAAAAGUAUGUGUGUUAACCGCACUACCAUACCUACCUUUAUUUAUAUCCCUACCCUAAAGAUUUUUGUGACAGGUUUUGAUUAAGCACUGUUAAAGUCACAAUAUAGCUCCCAAAGAGUUGUGAAUUUCCUGUCUUUAUUCAUUCCUUUACCAGUACUAUAUGUACAUUGUACAAUGCAGCUAGAUUGAUACAAUAUAUGGUUCUCAAACUCAAAAAAAUGUUUUACAGACUAUGAGCUGGGUUUUUUUUUCUCUAAAAAUUGGUUACUGUGAGACUUUUUCUUUACAUUUCCUUAGAGCAGGUCAUGUAUCACAGUUAUAAACAUGGAAAGAGAACUUGUACAUGUCUUUACUUCUAUCGUUGAUAAAAAAGAAUCUGAAUAGAAUAUGCUUACAAAUGUAUUCCAAAUUAAAGGGCCCAGAAGGCCAAGGGGCAACAUGAGAUUAUAACAUUACAGAUUACUCAGAUAAAACAAAUUCAAAAUAACAAUAACGAAGAAAUGAAUUACUUGAUGAUGUGAUUGAUAUCAUAGCAUUUAUGACAUUUACACAAAUUAAUUAUCAUAUCUACAAAACUUUUUUUUCAAUGAACCAAUGCAUUAUGUUAAGCCAACUUAAUGUACAAAGUACAUGUAGGUGUAAUUCACUGUACUAAUCAUGCAAAUGUACAAAUAUACAAUAUUUUAUUUUUUAUCAACAGGUUAAUGCUGAAGAUGGAAAAGCACGAAAAUAAUGUUAAAAUGAAAGCAGAUAUGAUAGAUCAUAUAGGUAAAUAUAUGAUAUAAUUGAUAAAAAAAAUGAAUCAAACAAGUCAUAACAAGAGACUACUAAAUAGACAGCAAAUAAGACCUGUGUUGUGGCAUUAUUAGUGAAAUAUAAUCAUAUAUAGAAAUUGGAAAUUGACCAGUUACAUUUUUUAUUGUAAAAACAUGAUAAAUAAUCAAUAAAUUAGAUUAACCCUUCAAUCUUAAAAGUUCAAUCUGGUAAACAAAAAGUAAAAAUAACACACAGAACACUCAAAUUAUUAUUUUAUGAUCAAUUAAGGGCCAUAUCAGUACAAUCUACACAACAAAAUUACUCAUCAUUGGAAUUGUUCUCUUUAUAAGAAUUAAACUUAGAAAAAAAUAUGUGUUCUUGUCAGCUUGACAGAUCCUCAUUUAGAGUAAACAUGCAUUUAUGGUAAACCUGAAGACUACAUUUUGUAUUUUUCAUUUUUGAAAAAAACACUUUUACCAUUAUUACAGCUAUUUUCCUAAUGCGUGUAGAGUAAAACUUUGGUAGGUUUGCUUGCUCUGUUUGUAUAAAUAUUGAUUCAAGCUUUGUAAUUAAGGUUGAUAUCUUCAAACAAUAAAUAUAGGCAUAUUGAACCUUUAUGGAGUACUUUUAAUUUGAUUAGACGUUAUGUCAAUUGCAAUUGUACAAUAUACAAACAAACCAUGCAAGCUAACCGAAGUCUUAGAUUUACAUGCCGUAGGAAAUUAGCUGUAAAAUUAAUUAUAUAUUUGUUUUCCAAUGCUUAUUGUUUUUACCAAUUUCAAAUGUUUUGGCUUGUUUUUAAAUUGGUCUAUAUCAGCUAUAGGGUCAAAAGGGUCCAAAGUUAAACUUGAUUUCAUAAAACAAUUGAAUAAUUGGUGUUCUUUGAUAUUAUGAAAAAUUAAACGGUGUAUUGUACUUUUUUGGGAUAAAUACUUCUUUUAUGUUUAGAUUUUUAAUAUUCGUUUUCAAAUUGCAAAAAAGAUCACGGGGGCAAAAAAACCUUUGUUAGUUUAUUAAAAUAUUAUUGAAGUUUUUUUUUCUAUGCUAAAUGUUAUCAUGCAUUUAGCAUGUUUAGAUUUAUGAUUUGGGCUCAGUUUUCAAGUUGAUUCAAAUUGGGGUCCAAACUUAAACUUUGUUUAAAUUCAUUUUAAAAAUUGCAUGUAUGGGGUUCUUUGAUGUGAUAAAUCUAAUCAUGUCUUUUAGACUUUAGAUUUUGGAUAUUGGUACAUUGUUGAAGGUUGUACAGAGGCAUUACAUUCAUUUCAUUUGAACUUUUGUGGAUAUUUGUCUCAUUUGCAAUCAAUACUCAUCUCCCUAUUUUUGUAUUGUCAUAACGUCAUAAAUACAAGAUGAAAUCUGCCAAAUUAACUUCAUUAAAAUUAAGUUUGCUGCAGCUUGGAAUAAGAAAAAAAUAAAAUUUAGGUCCAUUUUUAGCUAGUAUACUCUAUUUCUUAUUCUAUGUACUGGAACGUCAGAGUUGUGAUAAUCGAAACACAUUUUACACUAAGACCCAAUUAAUAAGUAAUUUCUUUUUAGGAAAUUUCAAUCAUUUAAUGGAUAACAAUUGUUUUUCUUAUUAUUUUUUACAGACAUUUGGUGAUCCAAAAAUAACUGGAGUUCAUGAAAGAAGACUGAUUGCUGAGACACAUUUUUGUUGUUAAACAU